rnacentral:rRNA from 1 species
GGUUGAUCCUGCCAGUAGUCAUAUGCUUGUCUUAAAAAUUAAGCCAUGCAAGUCUAAGUAUAAACGAAUUUAUUCAGUGAGACUGCAGAAGGCUCAUUAUAUCAGUUAUUGUCUAUGCGAUGGGCAAUUACUACAUGGAUAACUGUAGUAAUUCUAGAGCUAAUACAUGCCAUAAAGCAUCUCUCUGAGGUGUGGCCUUAUUAGAACUAAAGCCAGCCCGAUUAUUCGGAGCCUUGGUGAUUCAUAAUAAUGAUACCCAAUCGCACUUUUGUGUGAAGCAUCGCUAGAAUUU